UGAUGAUGAUGUCACAUACAGCACUGUUAUCCUCCAGCACAAGGCCCAACUAAAAGGACAGACCAAGUCAGCAGAACCAGAUGAUAAUGUGGUCUACAGCUCACUAGCUCUACAGGUGACCACACAGCAGAGGGCAGCAGCACAAUAGUGACUGACUGAGAAGACCUUGGUUGAGUCCUUUUACUGGAAGGACAGAACACUCCCCUCUCCUGUGUUACAUCAUCUAUCUGCC